rnacentral:rRNA from 1 species
ACGGCUUACGGAGCCUGCACGGCGGAUGAAUUUGACGCAAAAGUGGAAGCGUUUCAGGCAGCCUAUCAAAAGGCUGUUGAGAGCGAUGCCAAAAAAGCUACGGUAUGGUACGAAACCGUCCGCGACGAAGUGAACGCUAUUGUGUCUGCUGAUGUCGACGACGAUAAUAACGACGUCCUGUGCAAACGCAUAGACGACGUUACAAAACAGAUACCGUAAGCAAACUAGUUUUGGUCGUGUCGUCAACCUCAUGUUGACGACAUCAUCCAAGCCUAGCUUGGCCGACUCGAAAGAGUCUGUUCAUUGACAAUUGAAUAGGGAAGGAAAGGAAAAGAAUGAAGGUCUUUUCUUGUGAGCAAUCAUGAGAGAGACACAAUUCGGGUACAAAGAAUAACAAGUAUGAAAAGGGCACCAGGUGGAUGCCUUGGCGUCGGAAGGCGAUGAAGGACGCGGACGGCUGCGAUAAGCCUCGGGGAGNUGUACAGCAAGGUUAAGCGUAAGUGUAGCCGUAGCGAAAGCGAGUCUGAAUAGGGCGUUAAGUUGGGCGGAGUAGACCCGAAACCGAGUGAGCUAUCCAUGGGCAGGUUGAAGCUCAGGUAAAACUGAGUGGAGGACCGAACCGUCAACGGCUGAAAACGUUCCGGAUGACCUGUGGAUAGGGGUGAAAGGCCAAUCAAACCCGGUGAUAGCUGGUUCUCCCCGAAAUAUAUUGAGGUAUAGCCUCAAGGAUUGUCUGCCGGAGGUAAAGCACUGAAAGAGCUAGGGGUCCCACCAGAUUACCAAACUCUAUCAAACUCUGAAUGCCGGUCAGAUGUACCUUGGGAGUCAGACUGCGGGUGCGAAGAUUCGUAGUCGAAAGGGAAACAGCCCAGAUCAACAGCUAAGGCCUCCAAAUUCAUGCUCAGUGUUGAAGGUGGUAGAGUUACACAGACAGCCAGGAAGUUGGCUUAGAAGCAGCCAUCUUUUAAAGAAAGCGUAAUAGCUCACUGGUCUAGUGACUCCGCGCCGAAAAUGUAACGGGGCUAAGUAUGGUGCCGAAGCUUCGGGAUGCACUUUGUGCAUCGGUAGGGGAGCGUUCUCAUCGGGAUGAAGCUGUGCCGGAAGGCAUGGUGGACUGGUGAGAAGUGAUUAUGCUGACAUAAGUAACGAUAAAACGGGUGAAAAACCCGUUCGCCGUAAACCCAAGGUUUCCUGGGUCAAGGUAAUCUUCCCAGGGUUAGUCGGCCCCUAAGGCGAGGCAGAAAUGCGUAGUCGAUGGGAAACGGAUUAAUAUUUCCGUACUUGCAUAUGUAUGUCCGGAGGGACGCAGAAGGAUAGACCGGCCAACUGUUGGAUUGUUGGUGAAAGGUUGUAGGCGGAAUGGGCUAAUCCCCCAAUCAAUACGCCGAGAGCCGAUGCGAGUCGCAAGACGAGUGGUUGAUUCCCGGCUGCCAAGAAAAGCUGCUAGGCUAAGCAUAUGUGGACCGUACCGCAAACCAACACAGGUGGGUGGGUAUAAACGUACCAAGGCGCUCGAGAGAACUCUGGUUAAGGAACUCGGCAAAAUAACCCCGUAACUUCGGGAGAAGGGGUGCUUGUCCAGGUGAAGUAUUUACUACGUAAGCCCGGACGAGCCGCAGUAAAAUGGCGGUGGCGACUGUUUACUAAAAACAUAGGUCUCUGCAAAGUCGUAAGACGAAGUAUAGGGACUGACGCCUGCCCGGUGCCGGAAGGUUAAGAGGAGAGGUUAGCGCAAGCGAAGCUUUGAAUCGAAGCCCCGGUAAACGGCGGCCGUAACUAUAACGGUCCUAAGGUAGCGAAAUUCCUUGUCGGGUAAGUUCCGACCUGCACGAAUGGCGUAACGAUCUCCGCACUGUCUCAACCAGAGACUCGGUGAAAUUGAAUUGGCGGUGAAAAUGCCGUCUACCCGCAGCGUGACGGAAAGACCCUGUGCACCUUUACUAUAGCUUGACAUUGGGUUUUGGGCUGGCAUGUGUAGGAUAGGUGGGAGACUAUGAACUCUGUACGCCAGUAUGGAAGGAGUCAACCUUGAAAUACCACCCUUGUCAGUUUAAGACUCUAAUCCCGACCCUGUAAUCCAGGCGGGAGACAGUGUCUGGUGGGUAGUUUGACUGGGGCGGUCGCCUCCCAAACUGUAACGGAGGCACGCAAAGGUUCCCUCAGCCUGAUUGGAAACCAGGCGCUGAGUGCAAACGCAUAAGGGAGCUUGACUGCAAGAGUGACAGCUCGAGCAGGGACGAAAGUCGGUGUUAGUGAUCCGGUGGUUCCGCAUGGAAGGGCCAUCGCUCAUUGGAUAAAAGGUACGCCGGGGAUAACAGGCUGAUCGCAUCCAAGAGUCCAUAUCGACGAUGCGGUUUGGCACCUCGAUGUCGACUCAUCACAUCCUGGGGCUGAAGCAGGUCCCAAGGGUACGGCUGUUCGCCGUUUAAAGUGGUACGCGAGCUGGGUUUAAAACGUCGUGAGACAGUUUGGUCCCUAUCUGCUGUGGGCGUAAGAUAUUUGAGAGGGCCUGUCCCUAGUACGAGAGGACCGGGAUGGACGAACCUCUGGUGGGCCUGUUGUAGCGCCAGCUGCAUAGCAGGAUAGCCACGUUCGGAAGGGAUAACCGCUGAAAGCAUCUAAGCGGGAAGCCUGCCUCAAGAUAAGAUAUCUUUGUAGCAAUACGUAAGGCCCCUUGUAGACCACAAGGUUGAUAGGCCGGAGGUGUAAGUGCGGCAACGCAUUCAGCUUACCGGUACUAACAGGCCGAAAACUUGAUUC